UCAGCUUCUGGUGGCUGCACGUGCUCCCCGUGACCUGUGGCCAUGUCGCUCCAGUGUCCGACUCUCCCAGUAUCUGUCUCCUGGUAAGGAUCCUAGUCACACUGGAGCAGGGCCCGCCUCACUCCAGGAUGAUCUCAGCUUGACUUGAUGACUGCAAAGACUCUGUUUCCAGGUGAACGUUUGUCCAGGCCUCAGGCGCUGCCGCCACG
rnacentral:lncRNA from 1 species